rnacentral:rRNA from 1 species
GUGGCGAACGGGUGAGUAACACGUGGGUAACCUGCCCAUCAGAGGGGGAUAACAUUCGGAAACGGAUGCUAAAACCGCAUAGGUCUUCGAACCGCAUGGUUUGAAGAGGAAAAGAGGCGCAAGCUUCUGCUGAUGGAUGGACCCGCGGUGCAUUAGCUAGUUGGUGAGGUAACGGCUCACCAAGGCCGUGAUGCAUAGCCGACCUGAGAGGGUGAUCGGCCACAUUGGGACUGAGACACGGCCCAAACUCC